CAAGGAACUAUUGAAUGGGUUCCUAUGAGAAGUUGAAGAAAAGUUAUGGAUAAUGAAAACAACGCUCCUUCGUUAUUAAAGUCGAUUGAGGGCUAUGAUCCUAUAUUUUUCGAAUUGUUCGUCGACCAAAAACAGGUGUUUAUUUUGGAUGGUCCGGAGUUUUUGGCUGCAACUAUGUUGGACAGAGAUAUGCUUGCUAUUGCUGUAAAUUGGUACCAUGUCGGUUGGUUUUGCUUGGUAAGGUUAGACUUUCCUAAUAAGUUUGCUUGAUUUACGGGAUUAGAUAUUAGUGAU